ensembl:lncRNA
UUAAAAACUAUUUUAUGCCAAAAAACAUUUUUGAGUAACAGAACUUAGAUUGAAUAUCUUCGUCAGAGUGCAACUCUUCCAGCAUGCUGCAUGUCAUACUUUUGUUUGUGUGACUCGGGCCACAUUUCUGUUCCCAUGAACUCUAUUCACGUGAAGUCAUUCAUCAACUUGCGCACACUGCUACAUAAAUGUCAAGUCAGUCGAGAGUAAUCUUUAUGUGUGUUCAUGAAUGGUCUGUUAUUAUCACUAAAUGUUGACCUUACAUGUACCUAUUACAAUUGAGUCUGAUGAGGCAUUUAGUGACACACUUUUACUACCAAGUACACUUUGUGGGGUUCAGCUGAACCAUGUUGUCUGGACACUAAUGAGGUGGAACAGAGACAUCUAAUUCUUUUUUUUUUUUUAACUAAAGGCACCUGGAACUGUCUUCAAUCAAAUGCGAGGGUGUGACGACUUGAUGCAUUAAAAGCUGACAGCCCCCUGAGUCUGUCGGCUUGCCUAAUCAGUUUCUGUGGUUUUGGUCAGAUGAGAACACAGCUAUGAGGGAGAAACAAUGUAAUAUGGUGUAAGACGAGCCAGAGUAAUAAUGAAUCCUCAUUAUGAUCCAUCAUGUCUGGACAAGGGCCUCCUUCCCUUAUUGAUUUCCUCAUCUCUACAGUUUUUUUCUGUUGGUGUGCCACUCCCUCUAUCUAAUUCCACUUUAACUGUCAGUGCUCUUCGAGUAUCCAUUUCAAAUCAGCGAGUGUUUAACAUUAUCUUCUUCUCUGCUCUUUCCACAAAAUUUCUAACAGUAAUAUAAUUUGAACAGGUGGAUCUGUGAUUUCCUUCCUAUUGUUUCAGCCACCUCAACUCCACCCACGUCUCUGCCUUCGUGCCCUCGGUGUGAUUAUCUGGCCUAUGUUCUCGUUCAGCAUCCUCGGCAGCCGUCCCUUAGACUCCAAGGUCUUGUAAGCUGGUGCAAGGUCGAUCAGAGUGGUGGAAGGGGAGACAGCGAGAGAGCGCAAGCAAGACAUUCUUCCUAUCGCUCUUUUAGGACACGUGGUAGUAAGACUAUGGGCCGACAAGAAGAGGAAGCGGAAGAAGAAUCGGUCCUGUGACAACAGCAUACACUUUUAUGGCAUAAACAGUUUUGAAAAUCAAGCCUCCACAUCUUUUACUUUCUCUUCCUUUUGAGCCAUGAAACAAAUCUGUUCUCGCUA